UUUCUCAAUAGAAAAUAUUGAAAACCCCUCUUUAUUUCUCAUAAAGAACGUAGCCCAAUACCUAUUUCUCAGAUAAAUCCAAAAUCCAUUUCUCAAAUAAAUAAUAAAUUGAAAACCCAUUUAUGAGGUAAAUCAAAAAUUUAUUUCUCAGACAAACUCUUUUUGAAGCGCUUUACUAGAAUUGGUUUCCCAAGCGUUUGUGAAGAAAGCGCUGAAGUUACUCAAGGGGGAAAAUUGAUUAGCCGUGACAGAGAGAAAGGAUUCAGAUAAACUAAAUUUUGGGGGUGAAUUUGUAGCUCCAAUUGACUGGGGAAUUUCGACGGUGUAAUAGAGUAGCACCAAAUCGGUUUAAUAUUGCUUGAAUUAGGGGUUUUUAGGAAAAUUUUGGAGGUUUGAAUACCUGUUUUAGGACAGAAAAAUUAUUUCCAGGGCCUCAUUUAUCUGUAGGGGCAGGUACCAAACUGAAGAUGAGGAAUCCAUUCUGAAGUUUAUUUGGUUGAAAAGUGCUUGACAUUUUGUUCAAGAUGCCUACAUGAUGGUGUGAAGACAUGAUUUAGUAUGUACCAAACUGAAGAUGAGGAAUCCAUUCUAAAUUUGUCCCCUAUAUGCCGUAAGAAUGGUCAUCCAAUUGGAAGUGAGAAGAAAGAGGACUACACUUUUUUGAUGGAUUCAAAGUUACAUUAUGAAGUACAUCGACAUACCUUUUUUAGCACGGGAGAUGAAGAAGUGGAAAAGUUCAUCAGUAUAAAGUUGUUGAGGAUUACUGAGGAUUGCUAAUGUCUAAGAGCUGGUUCAAUUUGUGAGGUUAUGAUUCAAUAUUGCUUGGAUUUGGGGUUUUUGAGGCAAUAUUUGGAGGUUUGAAUACUUUGUUUAGGACAGGGAAAUUAUUUUCAUGGCGUCAUUUAUUUGCAAGGGAGUGUAAUUUUCAUAUAUCCUAUCAAUCUGACCAAAUUGUUGAUUAAAAAGAAAAUAGAACAACAUUAUCAAAGUAGAUAUAUUCUAUUCUACA